UCCCCCCUGGUGUAACGGCAACACACAGGCCUUUGGAGCCUUGAGAUACCUGUUCGAAUCAGGUGGGGGGAGC
rnacentral:tRNA from 1 species